UUAAAAUAAGUCUUAUAAAUUAAGUCUUCCAUAAAAUCCAAUCAUAUAGUAUCUAACAAUUAUGUCACCCACAAUGCAUUAUUUGAAGCAAUCCCAAAGUAUUAUUAUAUAUACCUCUCUUUAUUUUGUGGGUUUAAAAACCCCAUGUGACCAUUUGCCAUUUUUUUUCUCACACAGCACACACACAGUAGCGGUGGCAAUGGCAAAAUCUUCCGAAGAGGAAGAAGUAGAAUCGUUAUUCCGAUCUUACCCCUACGCCGCACUAUACUUGGUCCAAAGCCCACCCUCGACCGUUAAUUCCCAUGCAACCGCCUCGUCCAAUUACAAUCACCUUCACCACUUAAACUCAUGUAAUAACAACUCUCCUAUAUCUCAUUACUCGUCUUCUCGUGGAUCGAACAACUCGUUUUUGCAAGACGGUGAUAAGAAGAAACUACAUUCACACGAGGCGCUUCGAAAUGGUAAUAUUAAUAUAAUAAUAAUAAUAAUAUUAAUGAGGCAGUAAUACUUGAUGAUCGAGAUUAUUAUUACGGUGAUGAAGAGGAAAAACGAGGGUGGAUAAAGUAUUUAUCUUUCGGUUAUUCGAAUUCCGGGAUGUGGAUUUUGGUGCAGCUGAGAUGGAGGUUUUUGCUGAGUUUGAUCAUUGCUUUGUUUGUUUUCUAUAUUGCUGCUAAGCCUCCCCCUCCUAACAUCUUUAUUAAGAUUGGAGGAAUUGGAGGGUUCAGAUUAGCCGAGGGAGUGGACGGCUCUGGUGCAUCGACGAAAAUAUUAAGCUGCAAUUGUUCAAUUGAUUUAAUAAUAGAAAAUAAGUCCAAGCUAUUUGGUCUUCACAUCAAUCCUCCAUUCAUUCAAUUGCUUUUUGGCCAUCUCCCUUUUGCAGUGUCAUAGAUGGAGGGUGGAGAAGUAUAUGGAGAGAGUGAUGAGACAACAAUAUUCAAUUUCAAAAUUGGGACAAGAAAUAAGGCAAUGUAUGGUGCAGGAAGAAACAUGCAAGACUUACUAGAAUCUGGUCAAGGAUUGCCUUUGCUUGUUAAAGUUAAAUUAAGAUCAAGUUUUCAUGUAAUUUGGGGAAUAUUCCAACCUAAAUUUCAUCAUCAACUCCAAUGUUUGGUUGUCUUGGCUGAUAAAUAUGACAAGAUACAUAGGACCCAAGUUUAUAAUAGCACUUGUAUAAGUAAUUUAUUAUAAUUAAUUCCUAGUAGUAUUAAAUAUUGUCAUCUAUACAAUUGUUCUUAUUAUUACAUUAUUAUGUAUAGGAUUGUUUAAUUAAGUAUUGUAUUUCAAAGAAUAAAAAAAAAAGGGAAGGAUUUGAGAGUUCUUAAGGGAAACUAUGUAUUUGUAGAAAAUAUAAAAGACGUUUUUUUUUUGGA